rnacentral:rRNA from 1 species
UACGGGAGGCAGCAGGGGGGAAUAUUGCACAAUGGGCGCAAGCCUGAUGCAGCCAUGCCGCGUGUAUGAAGAAGGCCUUCGGGUUGUAAAGUACUUUCAGUCGUGAGGAAGGUGUUAAGGUUAAUAACCUUAGCAAUUGACGUUAGCGACAGAAGAAGCACCGGCUAACUCCGUGCCAGCAGCCGCGGUAAUACGGAGGGUGCGAGCGUUAAUCGGAAUUACUGGGCGUAAAGGGCACGCAGGCGGUUAAUUAAGUUGGAUGUGAAAUCCCCGGGCUUAACCUGGGAAUGGCAUUCAAGACUGAUUAGCUAGAGUCUUGUAGAGGGGGUAGAAUUCCAUGUGUAGCGGUGAAAUGCGUAGAGAUGUGGAGGAAUACCGGUGGCGAAGGCGGCCCCUGGGACAAAGGACUGACGCUCAUGUGCGAAAGCGUGGGGAGCAAACAGGGAUUAGAUACCCGGU